UACAGAGGGUGCGAGCGUUAAUCGGAAUUACUGGGCGUAAAGCGCACGUAGGCGGCUUUGUAAGUUAGAGGUGAAAGCCCAGGGCUUAACCCUGGAAUUGCCUUUAAGACUGCAUCGCUAGAAUCGUGGAGAGGUGAGUGGAAUUCCGAGUGUAGAGGUGAAAUUCGUAGAUAUUCGGAAGAACACCAGUGGCGAAGGCGACUCACUGGACACGUAUUGACGCUGAGGUGCGAAAGCGUGGGGAGCAAACAGG
rnacentral:rRNA from 1 species